AUUGAACGCUGGCGGCAGGCCUAACACAUGCAAGUCGAACGAGUGGCGGACGGGUGAGUAAUGUCUGGGAAACUGCCCGAUGGAGGGGGAUAACUACUGGAAACGGUAGCUAAUACCGCAUACCAUCGGAUGUGCCCAGAUGGGAUGAGCUUGUAGGGGAGGUAACGGCUCACCUCGGCGACGAUCCCUAGCUGGUCUGAGAGGAUGACCAGCCACACUGGGACGGAGACACGGGCGAGACUCCUACGGUGGGCAUCAGUGGGGAAUAGUGCACAAGGGGCGCAAGCCUGAUGCAGCAAUGCCGCGUGUAUGAAGAAGGCCUUCGGGUUGUAAAGUACUGUCAGCGGGGAGGCGUUACCCGCAGAAGAAGCACCGGCUAACUCCGUGCCAGCAGCCGCGGUAAUAC
rnacentral:rRNA from 1 species